UCUCUGUUCCAUCAGGAGAGUCUUCAUUACGUGGCAAAAAAUGUCAGAAACACUGGAACUCAUCUCAUUAAAUGCAGGCAUCCCAGGCAUAGAGCCAGUCAUUGAGGCUGCUUAGUUCAUGGAGAGAAAGAAUCACUUUUGAAGCAGACUAAUAAAGAUAAAAGAGGCCAGGUGACAGACAUAAAGAUGCCUGUUUUCCUGGUUAGGGUUUUGCAGGAACUCCAAGGGUGUGAUGGAAGCAGCUGUACUGAAGACAACAAGCGAGCAUGUGCUGCCCAGAUUACUCACAACCAGUAAAGGAUACAACCAAAGAUGCCAAGUCAGGCACAGAAAAGUUGGGAAGUGACAGAAAUAGGCAUUUUGUUUUGCAGGUCAGAUGCCUGGUAUUUCUGAAAUACACAGCAAGGAGGUUACAGAGCAAUGCAAGCACAAAACCAUCCCCUGACCACAGCGUGGUGGGGCCAGGAUGAAGCUCAGCCCCUUGGGAGCCCUCAGGAGCUGGAAUGCAGCACCACAUCUCGCCUGGCUUCGGUGAAGGGUGGCCAAGCUUUCCCCUUUGAGCUUUGAUCACAGGAAAGAGUGAUUUAAAUAUUUAUUCAGGGGAUGUAAACUGUGGAACAGAAGCAGCUCUUCAAGGCAGAACGUAUUAUUUCAGCAUGAAACAAAAUAAAUUAUUUCCAAAAUAAUACAUUCACUAAGACUUUUUGAUACCAAUUAGGGUAAUUUUUUACUUGCACACAGUUAGGAUAUAAAUCCUAGGCCAUGCAAAUAUUUAAAAGUGCUGUCAGCCCAAGGGAGGUCUAGCAAAAGUCUGCUGGUAACAAGAGAUAUACCUUAAUCUUCUCCAUAUCUUUAUAGCUGCUGUUGAAAUGUGUAAGACACUGUUCUGAUCCAAUUUCUGCCACAGUUUCUGAAGAUUUACAACAAAUUAAUGUUUUGCCAAAGGUAUUUCUUCGAAGAAAAUCUCUAUCAGUUCAGUGGGGGAAGAAAUUGAGUAGAAUGCUUAUUUUUUAUGCUUCAAGAGGUGAAAUACCUGCUUUCAUUUGAGUGAAUGGCUUUGGGGACAUGUGGGCAGUUAAUUUUCAGUACAAUCUAUUUUAUUCAGAUAAGAAAUCAACAACAGAAAAGAGAGAAAAUUUAAGCACUGCAUAUUAUAUGACUGGAUCUGGAGGAACAUAUAAAUUAUUGUCUUCAAAGAAAUUUAUUCAUAUUCUCAUUGUCCACAUGAGAUGAUCUCUGUGCUGAAAUCAGGUUUAUCCCUUUCCCCUUCCUUUGACAAAGACUGGUUUCAGUUUUACAGAAGAGAAAUAGUGAGAGGGAAGUUAAAUGAUUUGCCCAAGGUCACAUAAAAAACUGAUAGUGAAAUCAGAAAUUGAACCUACAUUAUCUGGUUCCCCAAAAGGCUUAGGGACUAAUGUGCCCAUUUUUCCUAUAUAUUUCUUUUUAUUUCACUUUUGUGUUUGACAUUUCAGGCAGUAUAUCUCUACAUCCUUUCUUUGUUAAUCCUCAGAAGCUUUACAGAGUCACAAUAGCAGGACACACACCAUAUCAAAUAUCUGCCAUGUACAGAGCAACUGCUGCCCUCAUGCAGGGCCCAGAGUCAGGCAAGAAUGAAUCAACACCAUGUGCAAUAAUUCACUUGUUUCUGCUACUUGGUGUAAUAUAUAUGUCAGCCAGAGGAGUGAUGGCUAAAUUCAAAUAAAAAGAAAGACAACACAAGGGCAUGGAGCUGGGUUUUUUUGUUUUAUUUUUUUUUCCAAAAUCUUUAGUAUUUGUUAGGGUGGUGUUUCAGGAGAUAAUCAGCUAACUGGAUUUGUUCAUAACAGCCAGUCUCAAACAGCUCCUAAACUCCUGAGAAUAAAGGAACUGGAAAACCUCUUAUCUGUGGGACACAAGAAAAAAGAGUGUCAUUUUUAAUCUUCUCUUUCUAACCCGGCACAGCAGGCAGUGUGACAGUCUCACUGGGCUCUGUGUACAAAUGAACACGACAGCUGAGCUCACUUGUGAUUCAGCAGGGCAGAGAAGGACGGGCUUGGCAGCUCUGCUGAGCUGGGGCUGUGCAGUUCAAUGUGCUUGAAGCCCUUUUGAAGGGCUCCAAAGGUCUUGCCUUGGUGGAUUCACUGAGCUGAGGAGGAGGAGCCCCAUGGACCUCCUGGCAGAUGGAAUCCAGCCUGGGAUGGCUGUCAGCAUGGGACCCUCCCUGAGGACUGCAGAGCACCCAGCCUGGCAACCUCAGUGACACAGGGCAGGGAUUAAGAUUGCAUAAACUCAGCCAAGUCAAGACUCCUGCCAGCCCUAGCAGGAUUCCUAAACUCCAAAGAUUUCCUCAGCCAAAGAGGACCUGGACACCAUAAAAGUGGUAUGUCUAGCCUAGAAACACAAAUCAAACCCUUGUGCUGGGAGGAAAGGGUUGAAAGCACAAGGAAUAUCAAAGAGGUAAAUUCACCCAAAUGACCUUGCAGCUGAGAAUGCUAAAAAUACCAGAGUGGGGAAACCCCAAUUAUGCCCAGAGUUGUGCAUCCUCUCCCUGUUUACAGAAGUAGAAUUCCUGUGUAGAGAUAACACACUGUCACAGACAUACUUGGGCCUCCUGAUGGAGAGAGAGAGAGAGAAAUCAGAAGCUCAGAAGCAGAAAAGCACAGCCUUGUGAUAAACUGCACAUUCAUGAAGCCCUGUGGUACAGUGGGGCAGGCAGGGACUCACACCCACACAUUGCUAGGAUGGACUAAGCCUGAUGGAGCCUGUGUCCCCAGGUGUCUCUGCCACCUGAUGUUGUUAAUAAUGUAAUGAAAUAAAUCUACUCCUUGCAUUUCAGCUGUGGUUUGGUGGUCACCCUGGUUACCUGUAAGUGUGGAUUCACAUACCUUGGAAACAGCAUCAAAAAGUCACAUGGUGUUGAACAGAUCCUGGAGUUAUCUUCUGUGUUUUGAUUUGCUCCUUAAAACUAAAAAUCCAUGAUACCGGCCAGAAGAACCAUUAUGUUAGA